GGAGUCGCUGGGUAAUGCGCCAUGUGAGGCGCGGUGGGACUGUCGUUCCUGGACCAACGCCGAGACUUCCUAAAUCCCUCCGGAAAGGGAUGCGUUGGGCCUGUGAUCUGGCGACUAGGAGGGUCAGGAGUCCCAGUAGAGGGAAUCACGGGAAAAGAAUGAAAGAGGGAGGCGAGCCUGGCACGGCUUCCUGGAGAAACAAACUAAGCUAACAAAUUUUUCGGAUCCUUUGUGCAGCUAAUUUUACAGUACUGUUUCAUACAUCUUAUUAUAUUUGGACAUCACGGCCUGUUGAGUGGUCUCCCUCUCUGCUGCAAGCUCUGCUGUAAUCCAGAGACACUCAAUUAUCUCUGUAGGAUAAUUUAUUCAUUCGAUUAACAUACAUUACUACUAACUUUUUAUAAACCAGUACUGUUCCAAGCACCGGAGAUACAUAGCUAUGAACGAAACAAAUAUCCCUGCUCAGGGAAUUCACAAUAGAGUGAGGGGAAAUAAGCGAAUAAACAAUGAAUCUCUUGUUCUGAGGGAAGCCAUGUACAUCAUUAGCAGUUCUAUAAAGAGGAUCACAUGGCAAGAAACUGAAACAUUCUGCCAGCUGCCCUGUGAAAGAACUUGGAAGUAGACCCUCCAGCCCUAAUCAAGUCUUCAGAGACUGUACUCAGCCAACAAUUGACUGCAACCUCAUAAGAGACCCUGAGCCAGACCGCCCAACGAGAAACUGUGUGAGAUAAUGUUUGUUGUAUUAAGAUGCUAAAUUUGAGGGUCAUUUGUUAUACAAUGAGAGAAGUAGGAGGUAAGGGACUAUGAAAAGUUGGUAGAGUCAAGAAGUUGUAGGUUCCUGUGGUGGUCUAAAGUUUGUUAGAACAGGAUACUCAAAAGAAUGUGCUAAGAUAAGAGGUGGUCUGAGAGUAGGCUGCUUGGAGCUGAGUGUAUGCAGAGGUUGUGGUUAUUGGUGCUGUCAAAGUCUAUGGUAUGACCAAAGGAGGGAAAGCUAAGGUGGGUUAAAGAACAAGAUCACUGGAGAAGAGGUCAUAGAAACCAAACACCAGAGCAUUGAUUGGAUGAUCCAUGAGGAUACUGAAAUCACCAAAAAAUAUAACAAGAAUGAUGUUGGAGAAAGCCAGAAGCAACAAUCUUGAAAAGGCUUGGAGGUUGGUGGACUAUGGAAAUUAUGUUAGACAAAAAACAAAUGCAAGCAGUUUUCUUAUUCGAGUUCAAAAUGGGCUGCAAAGCAGCAGAGACAACUUGCAACAUCAAGAGUGCAUUUGGCCCAGGAACUGCUAAUGAACGUACAGUGCAGUGGUGGUUCAAGAAGUUUUGCAAAGGAUGGCCAGGCGCAGCAGCUCACACCUAUAAUCCCAGCACUUUGGGAGGCCAAGGCAUCCGGAUCACUUGAAGUCAGGAGUUCGAGGCCAGCCAGGCCAACAUGGUGAAACCCCAUCUCUACUAAAAAUAAAAAAAUUAGCUGGGCAUGGUGGCAUGCACCUGUAAUCCCAGCUACUCGGGAGGCUGAGGUGGGAGAAGCGCUUGAACCCAGGAGGCAGAGGUUGCAGUGAGCUGAGAUUGUGCCACUGCACUCCAGUGACAGAACAAGACUCCGUCUCAAUUUAAAAAGAAAGAAAGAAAGAAAGAAAGUUUUGCAAAGGAGCUGAGAGCCUUGAAGAUGAUGAGCAUAGUGACCGGCCAUGGGAAGUUGACAAUGACCAAUUGAGAGCAAUCAUUGAAGCUGAUCCUCUUAUAGCUACAUGAGAAGUUGCCUAAGAACUCAAUGUUGACCAUUCUAUCGUCACUCAGCAUUUGAAGCAAAUUGGAAAGGUAAAAAAGCUCGAUAAGUGGAUGCCUCAUGAGCCAACUGAAAAUAAAAAAAAUAUAUCGUUUUGAAGUGUUGUCUUCUCUUGUUCUACACAACAAUGAACCAUUUCUCGAUUGGAUUGAGAUGUGCUAUGAAAAGUAGAUUUUAUACAACAGCUGGCAAUGACCAGCUCAAUGGUUGGGCCCAGAAGAAGCUCCACAGCACUUCCCAAAGCACCAAAAACAGGUCAUGGUCACCGUUUGGUGGUCUGCUGCCAGUCUGAUCCACUACGGCUUUCCGAAUCCCAGUGAAACCAUUACAUCUGAGAAGUAUGCUUAGCAAAUCAAUGAGGCACUGAAAAGUGCAACACCUGCAGCUGACAGUGGUCAACAGAAAGGACCCAAUUCUUCUCCACAGCAACUACAAUGCCCGACUGCAUGUCGCACAACCAACCCUUCAAAAGUUGAACAAAUUGAUCUAUGAAGUUUUGCCUCAUCCACCAUAUUCAUCUGACCUGUGGCCAACCAACUACCACUUCUUCAAGCAUCUCAACAACUUUUUGCAGAGAAAACACUUCUACAACCAGCAGGAUGCAGAAAAUACUUUUUAAGAGUUUGGCGAAUCUGGAAGCACAGCUUCUUACACUACAGGAAUAAACGAACUUAUUUCUCAUUGGCAAAAAGGUGUUGAUUGUAAUGGUUCCUAUUUUGAUUAAUAAAAAUAUAUCUGAGCCUAGUUAUAAUCACUUAAAAUUCAUGGUCCAA
rnacentral:lncRNA from 10 species